rnacentral:rRNA from 1 species
UACGUAGGGGGCAAGCGUUGUCCGGUUUUAUUGGGCGUAAAGCGCGUGUAGGCGGCCAGAUAGGUCUGCUGUGAAAACUCGAGGCUCAACCUCGAGCUGUCGGCGGAAACCAUCUGGCUAGAGUCCGGAAGAGGAGAGUGGAAUUCCUGGUGUAGCGGUGAAAUGCGCAGAUAUCAGGAAGAACACCUAUGGCGAAGGCAGCUCUCUGGGACGGUACUGACGCUGAGACGCGAAAGCGUGGGGAGCGAACAGG